rnacentral:rRNA from 1 species
CCGGGUUUUCGCCAAAAAAGCCUCCAGAAUCCCCCCGGUUCUCUUUUAUUCAUUUGCUGUCUCAAAGAUUAAGCCAUGCAUGUCUAAGUAUAAGCAACUUGUACUGUGAAACUGCGAAUGGCUCAUUAAAUCAGUUAUCGUUUAUUUGAUAGUACCUUACUACAUGGGAUACCUGUGGUAAUUCUAGAGCUAAUACAUGCUAAAAACCCCGACUUCAGGAAGGGGUGUAUUUAUUAGAUAAAAAACCAACGCCCUUCGGGGCUCCUUGGUGAAUCAUAAUAACUUAACGAAUCGCAUGGCCUUGCGCCGGCGAUGGUUCAUUCAAAUUUCUGCCCUAUCAACUUUCGAUGGUAGGAUAGUGGCCUACCAUGGUGGCAACGGGUAACGGGGAAUUAGGGUUCGAUUCCGGAGAGGGAGCCUGAGAAACGGCUACCACAUCCAAGGAAGGCAGCAGGCGCGCAAAUUACCCAAUCCCGAUACGGGGAGGUAGUGACAAUAAAUACUGAUACGGGGCUCUUUUGGGUCUCGUAAUUGGAAUGAGAACAAUUUAAAUCCCUUAACGAGGAACAAUUGGAGGGCAAGUCUGGUGCCAGCAGCCGCGGUAAUUCCAGCUCCAAUAGCGUAUAUUAAAGUUGUUGCAGUUAAAAAGCUCGUAGUUGAACCUUGGGCCUGGCUGGCCGGUCCGCCUCACCGCGAGUACUGGUCCGGCUGGGCCUUUCCUUCUGGGGAACCUCAUGGCCUUCACUGGCUGUGGGGGGAACCAGGACUUUUACUGUGAAAAAAUUAGAGUGUUCAAAGCAGGCCUUUGCUCGAAUACAUUAGCAUGGAAUAAUAGAAUAGGACGUGUGGUUCUAUUUUGUUGGUUUCUAGGACCGCCGUAAUGAUUAAUAGGGAUAGUCGGGGGCGUCAGUAUUCAGCUGUCAGAGGUGAAAUUCUUGGAUUUGCUGAAGACUAACUACUGCGAAAGCAUUCGCCAAGGAUGUUUUCAUUAAUCAGGGAACGAAAGUUAGGGGAUCGAAGACGAUCAGAUACCGUCGUAGUCUUAACCAUAAACUAUGCCGACUAGGGAUCGGACGGGAUUCUAUAAUGACCCGUUCGGCACCUUACGAGAAAUCAAAGUUUUUUGGGUUUUGGGGGGAAAUUGGUCGCAAGGCUGAAACUUAAAGGAAUUUGAGG